AGCGGAAUAUUUUUCAAUCACUUAGCAUUAAAUAACCAACAAUAAAUUCUGACACAAAGGCCUCAACAUCAAUAGUCAAUAACAUUUGUUCAACAACGAUAAAAGGCUCCAUCAACAUGUUUCAAAAUUGAUACAUAAGGAAUGAAAAUAAAACAACAAUUUUCUAUCCCGUUACGUAUCAGAGCCCUAGGACACUUGAGCCACCACUUCUACUACUCUUCAUCACCUGCAAGUUACCCAUACAAAGGGCAACAUUUUCAAGCAGAAAGGGUGAGAUUCACAAACAACAAUAAUAGACAUAUAAUUCAUCAAUUGAAUCUAACACCCUAAAUAUCAACAAUACUUCAAUAUACUUAUAUAUUUCAUGGUCAACAACAUUAUCAACAUAUUCAAUUUCAACCAACAGGAACGACUACUCAACCAACAACAACGACUCAUGCAAUGAUAUGACAACACUGUUAUGACUCAACAACAAAAUGCGACAAUGCACAUGCAUGUGGUACCAUUUAACGCGUUUGAAUGACAAGGCAUUCCAGGGCAUGAGCCCUCACCAAUUUGAAUGGUUAAAGCAUUCACAAGGCAUAAGCCCUCUCCAAUUGAAUGAACUAGCAUUCGCAGGGCAUAAGCCCUCUCCAAUUGAACAACAAGGCGUUCCAGGGCAUGAGCCCUCAACAGUUUAUGAUUAUGCAAUGAACUCCACUUGUGUAUAUCAACAUACAACUCAACUACAACACAACGAAAGCAUGAACGACGACAACUACUACUCAACAAUGCAUAUUUAUGAAUAUGACUUACACUCCCAACAAUCCAACUGAUGAUACCUCAACCUUUGAAAUGAAAUUCAACUACAUGUAUAAUUUAUUUAUAUAUAAAUAUACAUAAUAGCCAUCAACAAUUCAUCAUACUUAAUUCAACAGCUCUAGUAAAAAUAUCACAAUUAAUUAUAACCAUUGUCCUACACAAGAAUUCAAUCAACAGUAUUCAAGUACAUAGAAACGGCUUCAGGUACUGAACAACUCACCUCGCGAGUACAUCUACUCGCUAUGGCGAACUCAAGGAAUGGGUUACUGGCUAUGGCGAGUACGAGGCGAGCAAGAAUAUGGUGCUCUCGGGAGUUUUGACAUUUUUCUCACUAAAUCUUCAUUUUUAAGCUCCCUAAUCAUUUUUUUAAUCUAAAAAUUGGCCCAGCCCUCUCUAAAAACGUCUAGGCACUCAAAACCAUCCAACUUACAUCUUAUAACAACAUUUUAAAAAUCAUGCUUCCCCACUCACUUACUCGCCAUGGCGAGUAGUCUUGCUCGUGAGGCGAGCUAUGAAGAUUGCUCACUCGCGAGGCGAGACAAGCUACUCGCUGAGGCGAGCGAUGAAGGUCUGUACGGACAGAAUGCAGGUUUUUCCCAAAAAUCCCAAUUUUCUCAAUUUCAAUGCCCAAAACGAUUUACAGAAGUGUAAUAAAUUACUGUCUACGCCUUGAACACCUUCUAAUACUAUUACAAUGGUUCCUACACUCAUUCCACCCAAAACCAAAGAUUAAAACCUAACCCCAAUUCUCAAUUUCAACUGGAACUAUGCUAAACCAAAAAUCAGAAUUAUAUAACCAUUAUCAUUGAGAGAUAGUCUCACCUUUACCUUGGUUUGAUGAACAAAAACUCCCCAAAAAUCAGAAUCUCCCUUCUUGACUCUUCUCUUGAUUUUUCUCCCAAAAACUGCUUGUACGUAAAACUGUUUUCUGACUUCUCUAACUCCCUAAUUAACUCCCCCUUAAUUCUAAUUAUCUCCCACUUAAUUUCUUUAAUUAAAAUAUAACCCCAAAACUCCAAAUAAUUCUAUUUCUCACAUUAUUUUAAUAAAUACUAAAAAUAAAUCAUUUAAUAAAAAUACACCACAACAUCAACAAUAAUUAUUUAAAAUCAUAUAAAAGACUCUAAAUAAAUCAGAAAUAAUUAAAUAACGACUAGGGCGUUACACUAAUGUGUCCAUUGGUGGUUGUUGUGAUAAUAGGGAGGUUGAGAUUAAGGGAUGAAGAUUAGGACAACCUACCAUGGAGGUUAGGGUUAUCGGUGGUGUUGCGAACACAUAACCU
rnacentral:lncRNA from 1 species